UACGGGGGGGGCAAGCGUUGUUCGGAAUUACUGGGCGUAAAGGGCUCGUAGGUGGCCAACUAAGUCAGACGUGAAAUCCCUCGGCUUAACCGGGGAACUGCGUCUGAUACUGGAUGGCUUGAGUUUGGGAGAGGGAUGCGGAAUUCCAGGUGUAGCGGUGAAAUGCGUAGAUAUGCGGAGGAACACCGAUGGCGAAGGCAGCCUCCUGGGAUAACACUGACGCUCAUGCACGAAAGCGUGGGGAGCAAACAGG
rnacentral:rRNA from 1 species